rnacentral:tRNA from 1 species
GGCAACAUGACCGAGUGGUUAAGGUGUCAGACUUGAAUUCUAUCAAAGCAUCUGAUCCUCUAUGAGGGCGCAGGUUCAAAUCCUGCUGUUGUCG